rnacentral:rRNA from 1 species
UACAGAGGUGGCAAGCGUUGUUCGGAAUUACUGGGCGUAAAGGGCGCGUAGGCGGCCUUCUAAGUCAGACGUGAAAUCCCCCGGCUUAACCUGGGAACUGCGUCUGAUACUGGAAGGCUUGAGUGCGGGAGAGGGAUGUGGAAUUCCAGGUGUAGCGGUGAAAUGCGUAGAUAUCUGGAGGAACACCGGUGGCGAAGGCGGCAUCCUGGACCAUUACUGACGCUGAGGAGCGAAAGCCAGGGGAGCAAACGGG